rnacentral:rRNA from 14 species
CGUCAAGUCAUCAUGGCCCUUACGGGAUGGGCUACACACGUGCUACAAUGGUAGUGACAAUGGGUUAAUCCCAAAAAGCCAUCUCAGUUCGGAUUGGGGUCUGCAACUCGACCCCAUGAAGUCGGAAUCGCUAGUAAUCGCGUAACAGCAUGACGCGGUGAAUACGUUCCCGGGCCUUGUACACACCGCCCGUCACACCAUGGAAGUUGGCCACGCCCGAAGCCGUUACUCCAACCCUUGUGGAGGAGGACGUCGAAGGUGGGGCUGAUGACUGGGGUGAAGUCGUAACAAGGUAGCCGUACUGGAAGGUGUGGCUGGAAUACCUCCUU